rnacentral:rRNA from 1 species
CCUACGGGCGGCAGCAGUGGGGAAUAUUGGACAAUGGGCGAAAGCCUGAUCCAGCCAUGCCGCGUGUGUGAAGAAGGCCUUCGGGUUGUAAAGCACUUUCAGUGGGGAAGAAAGCCUUGGGGCUAAUACCCUCGAGGAAGGACAUCACCCACAGAGGAAGCACCGGCUAACUCCGUGCCAGCAGCCGCGGUAAUACGGAGGGUGCGAGCGUUAAUCGGAAUUACUGGGCGUAAAGCGCGCGUAGGCGGUCUGAUAAGCCGGUUGUGAAAGCCCCGGGCUCAACCUGGGAACGGCAUCCGGAACUGUCAGGCUAGAGUGCAGGAGAGGAAGGUAGAAUUCCCGGUGUAGCGGUGAAAUGCGUAGAGAUCGGGAGGAAUACCAGUGGCGAAGGCGGCCUUCUGGACUGACACUGACGCUGAGGUGCGAAAGCGUGGGUAGCAAACAGGAUUAGAUACCCCAGUAGUC